UACGUAGGGGGCAAGCGUUGUCCGGAUUUAUUGGGCGUAAAGAGCGUGUAGGCGGCCAGACAGGUCCGUUGUGAAAACUCGAGGCUCAACCUCGAGACGUCGAUGGAAACCGUCUGGCUAGAGUCCGGAAGAGGAGAGUGGAAUUCCUGGUGUAGCGGUGAAAUGCGCAGAUAUCAGGAAGAACACCAAUGGCGAAAGCAGCUCUCUGGGACGGUACUGACGCUGAGACGCGAAAGCGUGGGGAGCGAACAGG
rnacentral:rRNA from 1 species